GAGGCUGUAGCGAGGUGGGGAUUGAUCUGUUCUCCCACGUGCCUGGUGACAGGACGAGGGGGAAUGGGCUUAAGUUGCGCCAGGGGAGUUUUAGGUUGGAUGCAUAACCACGGUCCUCACAGCUUUUUGGUGAUCAACAUUGAGUGGCCAGCAGCACUUCUACUGCAAAUCUAUAUCUAUCAAUAAAACUAAACUAAAACUAUCAAUAAAACACUGCAUUUUAUGAAAUAUUAUAUUAAAAAUACAAUAAAAAGCAAAAUAAAUACCUUAAAGAAUAAGCAACAUGAUGCCCUUUUCUGCAAUCUAUUUCCACUUAUAGGCACAAAAAAAUGUUGGGCAAUUUUACGAACUAAAAUCCAAAUGCAGGAGUGGGGAAAAGUUUAGCUGUUCUACGAAUAGAGUACUGUAAAUUUUGCUUGCAUUGUCUAAGAGUAAGGUAAGGCAGUGGGACUGACAAAGAUAAAGAUGUAGGUGAUAAACUUGCAUUUUUGAUUAGUGAUGUGAACCAAAUCAAGAAAAUAGUAACUAUGGAAAGAUCUUGCAUGGCCUUAUAGUUUUCUCCUCAUCAAAAUGUUUUUCCAGUUUAUUUUUUUUCCUCUGCAUGACAGCAACCAGAGUGUUUGAACAAUAACACUUUCUUAAUAACAGGAUUUGCCAUUCUUAUCAACUAUGUUAGAGCAACCUGUUGAAGUUUUACUCAAAUGCAUCCUAUUGACAAAGUUCAGCCCAUAGUUAACAAAUGUGUACAGUAUGUAAUAUUUUCUGUUUGAAAACAUCCCAUUAGGUAAACUGUUUUUGAAGAUCUCAGCUGAUAUUACGUGUUCAAAAUGCAAGAAAGAAAAAAUAUUUUUAUUUAUUAGAGUCCAGAUGUUCAUUUAUCUAUUGUUCAUAUGCACACCUGUAUACCGUUUACAUAGCAAGAAAACACCAAUGAUUUUUAAAUUUAGCUAAUGUGUCACAGAUAUGCAGAUGCAGAUCUGGAACAAGUAUAAAAUCUCAUGUUAGUAAGGAAAUAUAUAAAACAGUGAUUUACACUUUACGUUUUGUUUGUAGGAUGACAUUACUGACUCUGCUAGACAGAAAUUGUUCCCAUUACAAAAGUGGAAGUGGUCUGAAGAGAUUUUGUUAAAUGUGGCUCUGCUGCUGACAUCGUUGACUGGAAACAUAAGUCACAAUACAGUACCACAAAUUGAGUUGCCAUCAGUUGCUCUGGGCACAAAACAGACAGCUAGCAACAGGAAAAAUGGAGCGUAGAGCUGACUUUCAACACUUGAUGCACGUUUGGCAGGAGGCCAAGGUGAAUCAGAAUAAGCAUCCAGAAGGAUAUGCCAAACACAAGAAAAUCAUAGCAACUUAAUAUGAUUUAAUACUAAUAAAGCAGUUAAGGUUAAUGGAAACAAUCCUUGAUCUUUUCUUCUUCUAAUAAGUUUAAAAAGAUUUUAUAAUGUGUCACAUUUAGGGUUGAUCCCUCCAGCUGGAGCUAUCCAUCACAGACUACGUGGAAACACUAGUUUUUGCCCAUAUCACAGCACCAAACCUCUUGAGCAAGACUUGUGGCAGAGGAUGCAGGGUAAUGGUGAUCCACACUUUUUGCUGCUGAACCAAUUUAAGCACGGGCUGAGACACUGCCCUGGCCUGGGCAUCAGGUGGUUAGGACAUGCAAGGAGGGGCUGCAGGAAGGAAUUAAGCUCAGUGAGGUCCAAGUGAUGGUUUCCUGAAGAUUUGGUAGAAACGGGAAAAUGUGAGAAAGCCCAAGAGGCUGCAGGUCUGAAGGAGUCCCUGGGCUGUUUCACACUAACCUUUAUGUUGAGAACAAGCAUGGAAAGUACCUACAGGGUUUGAUGACAGGCACCCAGUUGUACACUGUUCUUCUGCUUAUGCAUUUUAACAGAUUUCUUUCCUAACAUAUUUCUCAAUUAGUUUCCUCUGAAGUAAUGAUGUCAGUGCUGCUAUAAUGUCAGCACUGUAAAGAACAUUUGACUAUAAUUUGCUUUACCUUCAAAUGGAGAGUAAAAUUUAAAGAAUUAUUUAUAUUGAGUUAACAAAAUGAUCCCAGAAAGAUACUUAAGCUUUCAUUUAGCUCAUCUGCUGUUUAAAAUCAGGUGGCAGACAUUAUGUUCACACAUCUGCUGCUUAAUCUUAUCAUCAUCAUCAUCACCAUCAUCUCACAUGAACAUAAUUACUCUUUCUGUAAUGUGUAAAUUUGAAUACAAUGUGUAAUAGCAUUUUAACAACGGGUGGGAAAUAAUUGCCUUUUUCUCCUUAGAGUGGGCUAAAUGGUGUUAGCAAAUAAGUAUGAACUGCAUAAAGAUGGGAAGUGUUACUUUACAGGAUGCAGUUGUUAUAAAGUUAAAAAAAAUGCAGACAAUUGUUGUCAGUUCUCCACAGAACUAAACUUAAAAUUAGUUAGGACUUUAGGUUUUUGUGACCUGUAAUGAGCUAGAAGUUUAGGCUAGACUCGCUCUCAUUUGCAGCUACCAUAUUUAAUCAAUUUCCUGUUUCAGAUGAAAAUCACACAGAGCUUGUGACCACUGUUUUUUAUACAGGCUGGCAUCCUGUGACAAGUGGGGUCCCCCAGGGGCUGGUGGUGGGCCCCAUGCUGCUCAACACCUUCAUGGAUGACCUAGAUGACAGCAUAGAAAGCACCCUCAGCAAGUUUGCUGCUGGCACUGCACUGGCUGAUGAGGCAGACACGUCAGGAGUGAGAACAUGGAGACGUGGACAGGCUGGAAGAGUGGGUGAGCAAGAACAGUGAACUUGCACCAAAGAAAAGUGUGAGGUUCUGCACCUGGGACAGGUCCCAAGAGCCCAGCCCUGCUGAAGGGGACUUGGCAGUCCUGGUGGACACCAAGCUGAACAAGAGCUAGCAGUGCUCUGCUGGAGCAAUGAAGGCAAAUCAGAUCCAGGGCUGCAUCCUUGGGGGCAUCAAGCAGAGACAGAGGUGUGAUCGUCCCACCCCACUCUGUGCUGGUCAGGCCACACCUGGAGCACUGUGAACAGUUCUGGUCCAUGGGGUUCCAAACAGGCAUGGACCGUCUGGAGAGAGCCCAAAGGAGAGCCAUAGAGAUGAUCAAAGGGCUGGAGAAGCUGUCCUACAGCUGAAGACCAGAAGGGUCAGGUCUUUUCACUGUGGAGAAAAGAAAUUUCAGACAAUCCUCAGGAUAACAGGAUUCUGGAACUUAAACAGUGGCUGCAAAGAGGACAGAGGCUGAAGCCACAUGGAGAAGACAAGGGGUAAAGGGUACAAGCUGUAACAUGAGCGGUUUCAUAUUGAUAAAAUAAAUUUUUUCAGUUUAGAAAUAAAUCGUUAGAACAACCUCCCGGGAGACACAGAUUCCCCAUCACUAGAGGCUUUUAAGAUGUGACUGAGCAGGGUGCUAUAUAAUCCUAUUUAAGCUCCCUUUUCCAUGAAAUGUUGGUACAAAUGAUCUUUUGAGGUGUCUUCCAACCUGGAAUGCUCUAUUAAGGCAAGGCAAGGAGACAUUGCAAAGUGUUGCAAAUAUUCCUGUGCCACUAAGAACAAUGUAUUUUGCAGCAGGAUAAUCUAUAAAGAAAAAAAAAAAGUGCAAGACCAAUUAACAGAUCAUGAAUCUGCUGAAGUAAUAAUCCAGUUUCAGGGCUGUAUAUUUGGUUUUCUUUCCCUGCUGAAGAAAUAUGUUUAAGAUGGGAUCCAGGUGUCCAAAAUGGGAUAAAACUACAUGACAGCUGCAUGAGGUGGGAAGGAAAAGCAUUUUCCAGCAAAAGCCUUUUGGUAGGGAAGUGAGCUCUUUGCUUCUAGGUCUUAAUGGAAAAGUAGAUUUGGGGACUAUCAGUGUGGUGUGAAGUGAGCCCAUGCUGAAAAUUGCACGAUGGUCUGCCACCACCAUGAAAGAGACCAUUAGUUCUACAAAAGGACUAGGUCACUUCAUGGGGAUGCUUCCCAUUGCUGAAAUAUGUUUGAAUGAAAUUAAUUUCUGAAUAAUAAUUAAAAAAAAAAA